AACGAACGCUGGCGGCAUGCCUAACACAUGCAAGUCGAACGAUCCCUUCGGGGAUAGUGGCGCACGGGUGCGUAACGCGUGGGAAUCUGCCCUUGGGUUCGGAAUAACAGUUAGAAAUGACUGCUAAUACCGGAUGAAGUCUUCGGACCAAAGAUUUAUCGCCCAGGGAUGAGCCCGCGUAGGAUUAGGUAGUUGGUGAGGUAAAGGCUCACCAAGCCGACGAUCCUUAGCUGGUCUGAGAGGAUGAUCAGCCACACUGGGACUGAGACACGGCACAGACUCCGACGGGAGGCAGCAGUGGGGAAGAUUGGACAAUGGGCGCAAGCCUGAUCCAGCAAUGCCGCGUGAGUGAUGAAGGCCUUCGGGUCGUAAAGCUCCUUUAUCCGGGAUGAUAAUGACAGUACCGGGAGAAUCAGCUCCGGCUAACUCCGUGCCAGCAGCCGCGGUAAUAC
rnacentral:rRNA from 1 species